GUCACUCCUCAAGUAGUCUCUCCAAAGGAGGAAUGUCUGACGUGCUAAACUAUAAACCAGGUUCUUCCCAAAGUUAGUUCGGCUUACACCCAGGAAUGAGCAAGGACAGCUUGGAGGUUAAAAGCAAGAUACAGUCAGUCAUCUUCUUCAGGGUAACCUCAAAUGUUCCAAGGUCUUACACCUACUCAUCAUAUUCAGGGAACUGAGACUCCACACACCUCACUUUGAGGCUGGAAUAUGCUGAAACUGCCUCCACAAACUCAUUAUUCUGGACCAAGACUUACAGCCUAAAGUGAAGGACAUUUCCAAAGAAAUUUUCUCCUCACUGAUGCCUCUCCUGCUGCAAUGCAAUGACCCUGGCUAUGUACAAGACAUACUUUGGCUUGCUCCUGGGAAACCUUUGCUCUGUAAAGAGCACUGAGCUGUUGCUACCAUUGCUGGCUUCAAGCACUUUGUCCCCAUUCAUUUCCAAGGUCAGACCUAAUGCCAAGACUUUGUUGAAGGAGAAGUGGGGAGUCUCAGCUACUGCUGCCAGAAAGGCAGAUGUUUUCAUUGUUUGCUGCAACUUGUUUGUCUUAUAGUGGUUUCUCAAGAUAUCCAGGAAGGAAGAAAAACAAAUACCUCACCCUGCCCUAGGAAAGUGACAGACUGUGAUGACACUUCCAUCACAAAACAGGCCUGGACUCUGAAGCAAGUGUCUCCUCUAACACACCCAUGUUAAAACCAGUCUAAGUUUCGCCUUCUCAGGCAUACUUCCACUACAUUGUGUUUACAAUGUUUUUUUUUCUCUAUUAUUAUUUUACUUAUUAUUUUUUUGAGAUGGAGUCUCACUCUGUUACCCAGGCUGGAGAGCAGUGGCGCUAUCUCGGCUCACUGCAAGCUCCGCCUCCCAGGUUCACGCCAUUCUCCUGCCUCAGCCUCCUGAGUAGCUGGUACUACAGGCACCCGCCACCACGCCUGGCUAAUUUUUUGUAUUUUUAGUAGAGAUGGGGUUUCACCAUGUUAGCCAGAAUGGUCUCGAUCUCCUGACCUCGUGAUCCACCCAACUCGGCCUCCCAAAGUGCUGGGAUUACAGGCGUGAGCCACCGCGCCUGGCCUUAAAAUAUUUUAAUACACAUUUUCAUUUAUUGGAGAAAUGUGUCAUUGCUUAAGUUGUUCUGUUUAAACAAUGUGAUACAGGUCUCAUUUAAUUUAGAAAGUUUAUUUUGCCAAGGUUGAGGAUGCACGCCUGUGACACAGCCUCAGGAGGUUCUGACAACAUGUGUCCAAGGCGGUCAGAGCAUAGUUUGGUUUUAUACAUUUUAGGGAGACAUGAGAUGUCAAUCAACAUAUGUAAGAUGAACAUUGGUUCAAUCUGGAAAGGUGGGCAACUUUAAGCAAAGGCAGGAAGACUUGAAGUCAUGAGGGGCCUUCCAGGUCAUAGGCAGAUAAGAGAAAAAUGAUUGUAUUAUUUUGAGUUUCUGAUUAGCCUCUCCAAAGGAGGCAAUCAAUUAUCUCAGUGAGCAGAGGGGUGACUUUGAAUAGAAUGGGAGGCAAGUUUGCCCUAAGCAGUUCCCACUUGACUUUUCCCUUUAGCUUAGUGAUUUGGGGGCCCCAAGCUUUAUUUUCCUUUCACACUCCUAGGUACAGUGCCUAGUCAGGAAAAAAAAAAAAAAAAAAAGCCCCAAAACUAUAAAGUCACAGUGACAGUCACAAACAUAAUUUUCCCACGGUGCUCUGCAUCCCACUUUAUAAUGACCACUGCGCACUCUAAUGUUAGUCUUGCAUCACCUGAAACUUCUUUACCCUAGGUGCUAUGGGUUUAUGAGAACAUAAAUGAUACAUAGUUAUAGAAUCACAAGCUGAAUAGACUCCAACAUUGUCUACCAUGAAAGAAACAUUUAUUCUCCACCUUAUGCCAUGCCACUACUUUUGUUUGGACCUAUUGAGGUACAUUUAUUUUAUUGGAUUUUAAUGAGCUUGGGACACUGAGAAUGCAUGUCAAGAAGUAGAAGGGAGGAAAGAAAAGAAAAGUAAUGUUAUGGUCUGCUGUGCUUUCUUACUUAAUACCGAAAAAAAUGCAAAGAAUAAUUCACAGAUGAGGACAUUGGGAUAUGAAAAGUGAUAGCUCUGUGAUCACAUAGUUAGUACAUUGCAGAUCUUGGAUUUUAACUGAUGUUUUACAUGACUUAGAAACCCUUCAUAUUAUUUACACUACUUAUUUCUAUCCUGCCAAAUGUCUCUGUUAAUAUCCAGACUCUUUUUUGGAUUAAAACUCUGAAUUAUCUUUCUGAUCUGUAUCAUUUAAAUCACAAAUACUUAGUAUGAACACCAUAAGUGCUAAAGCAUUAAAAAGUCAUUAAACAACCUCAAAUUAAUAAGGCACUUUAGUGUUUGAAAAUUCUUGUACAUAUAUUACCUCUUGUCCUUUCUUUAAUAGCAGUAUAAGAUGAAUAUUUUUAUGUCAUCUCUUUUUUAAAAAUUAGGAGGCCAGUGUCUAGGGAGAUAAUUUGUGAGAGAGAGCAUGAUGACGGUGGAGCCAGAAUGUGAACUUGGGUCGUCUGACUCCAAGUCCAGAAUAGCUGCAUUGCUCUACUACAUUCAGUGUUUUGUUGAGGAAACAUCUGUAGCCUUGCUUUCCUGGGGUACAGCAUCAGGGGAAGGACAACAAAGAGUAUACAUGCAUUCUCAGUAAUGUUCAACAGUGGUUUCCUUCCACUAACGACUUAACAGAGUUCUCUCUUCUUAAUUUCCUUCCUUUUCUCCAGUGAGAGUCUAGAAGUCAUUUAUAUUCACUAUGUCAAGUGUUUGAGCUUAAUUUUCUUAGGUAUAUUUUGCUGCUCUCUCUUUACUUUCUUAUGGACUCAUUCAAUGAGAAAUUCAAACACAGUCAAACUAUCAAAGGCAUUCAAACCAGAGCAAUUCCAUGUUGAGUGAGGGAUAGGAAAAAUGAAGCUGGAGCUUGCUGGGCUGCAUUCCCAGAAAGUUAGGUAUUUCCAACCUCUAGAUGUUUACAGUUAAGGGAACAGAUUUAUAAUGUUUACUAAUCAGACUCAGACUUGGGAGUAUCCUGAUAUCCCGAUAUCUUUUUUUUUUUUUUUUUUGAGAUGGAGUCUCAUUCUGUCGCCCAGGUUGUAGUGCAGUGGUGGGAUCUCUGCUCACUGCAACCUCUGCCUCCCUGGUUCAAGCAAUUCUCCUGCCUCAGCCUCCCGAGUAGCUGGGACUAUAGGUGUGCACCACCACGCCUGGCUAAUUAUCGUAUUUUUAGUAGAGACGGGGUUUCACCAUGUUGACCAGGCUGGUCUUGAACUCCUGAUCACAGGUAAUCCUCCACCUUGACCUCCCAAAGUGCUGGGAUUACAGAUGUGAGCCACCGUGCCCGGUCAAUAUCCCAAUAUCUUCAGACAGAAGCGUUCUUAAUUUUGCUUUAAAGAUAAUAUUGAUUGUUGCAAAAUAUAGUAAUUAAAAAAUCCUGUAUCACAAACCCUUGCAACAGAGCAUGUCUCCUCAUCAUCUUUUUUUAUCCUAUAUAUAAGCAAGUAUUGUAUCUAGGGUGGAUGCAUUCUCUUACUUUCGGGAACAUCCUACUCUGCCUACGGAGUAGGAUGUUUUUUCACCACUUUACUUUCUUAAUAAACUUCUUUUUGCUUUGCACUGUGGAUUUGCCCUGAAUUCUUUCUGGCAUGAGAUCCAAGAACACUCUCUUGGAGUCUGGAUCGGGACUCCUUUCCUGCAACAAAACCAUGUGCAGUGUGAGUGCAGGAACAUUGCCGCUGCUUGGAGAAUUGCUGAGCCUAACUGUUGCAAAAACAAAUUCUGCUGGCUGCCAUCAUUGUCAAAGUGGGGAAGGCUCUCUGUCUACUCACACAUGCAUAUUGGAGCUCUUGCUCUACUUGGCUUACCUCUUCUAUUUUCUUAGUUUUCUUGCAACAUUAUGCAUGUCUAAAUUCCUUUCCUUAUUAGCAAAUGGAGAACUUUGCUCUUGGCUGGGGCGCUGAGUCUGAUAGUUACAUGGAGUUUCACAAAAGAAUAGGCUGCAGGGCAAAGGGGAAACUGAAGGCAUAAUCUUGGGGGAAAGUGGAGUUGAAAGUCAAGGUGUCCAAAUAAAGAAUCCCUUCAAAGGUCAGGGAAUGAGUCAGGAGAGAAAACUAUUUAUUAACAUAUUUUAACAAGCAUCUUGUUAAACUAUUUUUUCAUUUACCUCUCCUGACUUCUGCGGGUAUGUGAAAUUGCAACUCCCACUUUAGAGACAUAAACAAGUUUUGUUUUCAUUCCUUUCCUUUUCACUUAGGAAUCUCAACUUCAGUAUUAUAAAACUUACAUUAAUCCUAAAGUAAUUCCUGCCCUUCUUCCCAGAUUCCUGAGGACCCUAUUUGGCUCUUAGAACCAUUACCAUGUUUCUAAACGUUGAACUGCAUCUCAUGAGGCAGCACACAAUUAAUUUCCAAAUGUGUAUCAAAAAUUUCAAGUUAGGAGACUGAGUUAGAAAUGAUUGAUUUUUUUAAAAAGGAAAAACAGAGCUUUUUUCUUUUCUUUUCAUAACUUUGGUAAAUCUAAAAUUACAUUGUUUGGGGCCAUGAAUGUUUAUUAUGUAACACUUGGUUUUGGGGGCAUGAAAAUCUAUUGUAUAACACUUGGCAUGCUUAUUUAAACAAUUUGGUUGAUAUAUUUAGGAUAUAAUAUAUGUUCGUCUUGUCUAAAAAAAUAUGGAGAAAGGAAGUCCCUCCACCUUGCCAUCUCCUAUCUAGGUGACUUUGAGUAUGGUGAUGACAUUAUAGAUACCACACCGAAACCAUGAUUCAUUAAAACUAAUUCAUAAGCCAGACUUCAUUAGAAUUAAAGGUUUCUGCUCUGUCGAGGCCACUAACAAAGAAUAAGAAGAUGACCCCAUAGACUGGGAGAAAAUAUUUGCAAAACACAUAUCUGAUAAAAAAAAAAGACUGUUAUCCAAAAUAUACCCACCCCCUGAAAAAACCCUCUUAAAACUCAACAGUAAGAAAGUGAACAACCAGAUUGGUUGCCCACAACAAAUGGGCAAAAGAUCUGAACAGACAUCUCACCAAAAAAGAUACAGAUGACUAAUAAGCACAUAAAAAGAUGUUCACCAUCGUAUAUUAUCAGGGAAAUGUGACUCAAAAUGAUGAGAUACCUCUAUACACCUAUUUAAAUGGCAAAAAUUCAAAACAGUGAGAACACCAAAUGCUGGUGAGAAUGUGGAGCAACCGGGACUCUCUUUUAUUGCAGAUGGCAAUGAAAAAUUGUGUAGCCACCUUGGAAGACAGUUUGGUAGUUUCUUCUGAACAUAUAAUUCAAAAAUCAUGCUCCUUGGAAUUUUCUCAUAUUAGUUAGAAACACAUCCAUACAAAAAUCUGCAUGCAGAUAUCUAUAGCAGCUAAAUUAAUAAUUACCAAAAUGUGGAAGAAACCAAGAUGUCCUUCAAUAGGUGAAUGAAUAAGUAAACUGCGGUAUAUCCAUUCAAUGGAAUAUUAUUCACCAUUAAAAAGAAAUGCACUGUCACACAGUGAAAAUUACCAUGUGAAGCAAGCCAAUCUAAAAAAGCUACAAACUUUAUGGUUCCAACUACGUAACAUUCUGCAACAGGCACAACUAUGAAGACAGUAAAAAGAUCAGUGGUUGUCUGGGGUUAGGGAAGAAGAGGGAAUGAAUCAGCAGAGCACAGAGAACUUUCAGGGCAGUGAUACUAUUCUGCAUAAUACUGUAAUGAUGGCUACAUGUUAUGAUACAUUUGCAAAGCUUAUAGAACGUGCAACACCAAGGGUGAACCCUAAUGUAUAGUAUGAACUUUGGGUGACAAUGAUAUGUCAAUGUCAUAUGGAGUUUCAUUAUAACAAAUAUAGUGCUCUUACGUGGGAUAUUGCUAGUGGGGGAAGCUAUGAGUAUGUGGGGGCAGGGAGUAUGUGGAAAAUCAGUGUACCUUCUGCUCAGCUUUGCUAUAAACCUAAAACUAAAAAAUAAAAUCUAUUUUAAAACCUAAAAAACAAAAUCUAUUAAAAAAUAGGAUUAGACAUUUGCGUAACCUGAAGUGCCUCUAAGAAAUCUUAGAGUCAUCUGAAAGAGUUUGGUACCCACCAAGUGAAACUGUCGUUCAUUUCAUAACUAAUAAUAUCAUUGAAAACCACAAUACAAUCAAAAUAAAUUGAAGACACACCUCUUGAGAAACUUUACUAAAUCUUCGCAAACAUAUUCUUUCCAUUCCUAAAUGUAACCUUAUGGGUCAACUAUUAUUUUUAAGUUAACCUUCUUUAUCUAUAAGAAGGCUUUUAAAACUCAUUUACAUAUAAGGAAACAGAUGUACAAAGAAGAUCAGUGGGUUGCUCAAGGUCACAGAGCUAGUAAGAGAAGAGACAGCGUCAAUCCUAGGCUCUUGCGUGACACCCUGGAACUCCCUUAUCCUGAUCUCUUUCUUUGGGCAAGACCUAUGACACCCCGCAUGAGGAAAAAGAACUAAGUACACUCAGUGAAGCUGUGCCUUUGGAUGACUGCAUUGUGAGCUUUCCAGAGACUGCCAGUUCCUCUGCCUUGGGUUCUGAAGGGCACCAGCCAGGCCUCUCCUGAGUAGGAGGCUAACACAAGUCUGGCUCUGUCCAGGAAGGUCCUCUGUGCCCCAUGGGUGGACUAAAAUGAAGAAUGCUGAAGAAGCCACUGAAAUGACAGGGAAGGUUCAUAUUUCAAGCAGAAAAUACAGCAAAUGUGAAAGCCUUGAGUUGGGAACAAGCAGAUGCCUGUGGCCAGGCAGGAGAAGGAGCCCCCAGGAACCACCAGUGGCAGGGCAGAGGUGUACAUAGUUUACAUUUUAUUCCACUGAAACAUUUCCUCCUUAUCAUUUCUUUUCAUUCCUGCGUAUGUGUUGACCUCAACUCAGAUGGAAGCCUUGCAGCUGAAGGCAGAAGAGGGGAGGAGGCCUUACAUGGUACCACUGACUGUCAGGAAAUGAGCAUAUUUGGUUAACAAGAGAGGGAUGAGGAGAGAGAAACAAUUGAGUUCUGUUUCCUGAGUGACAGAGCUAGCACCAGGCUCUGCUGAAGAAAGCACAAACAAAAGCUUUAUUUGUUUCCCAGCAGCAGUGCCCACUAAGGCCUCUCCACAGAAAAGAGAUCUGAAGAAGAAGCCAAUGAGAUUUAUUUUUACCAUACCGAGUAUGUGUGUUGAAAGUGAGAGGCAUCUGGGGGAGUUACUUUUUAGCUGCCUCUUACAUAGCUUCCCAGCUAAGGAGUUUUGGCAUCUACCUCCUUAGGAAUUCCUACUUUAUCCUUCAUGCUUCAAGACUAAAGCUCUUGCAGUUCCCCGAACAAUGUUAUCCCUCUCUUCUACUCAGUCUCAAUCUGUUUUGGCUCACGUUUUCAGAUUCUUUAUUUUUGACCUCAGCAUUACUUUCAUCAGAAAGAUUUUUUGGCUCUGUCCCAGGGUGACAUCAAUUGGGCUUUUUUGGAAAAGAUUCAUAGAGGCUUUUGUGUGCAGAAAACAAUACUUACAGUACUCUGUGUUGUCACUGACACUCAUUCAACUACAAUUAUAAACGGAAAACUUUGCUUUUCUUAAGGUUUUAAACAUAAUUGAAAAACAUUUGGUAUUAAUCUAUAAAUGUAAACAUUUUUCAGUUAAAUUAAGCACGGUUUGUCCUUGGUUAUUGUUUGGUUGGCAUAUAUAUAUAUAUAUAUAUAUAUAUAUAUAUGUAUGUAUGUAUUUCACGAACAAAAUGUAUAUAAAUCUUUAGGUACUAUAUAUAAGCUUAAAUUAUUUCAUAUUUUAAAUAUACAGUUGACUCUUGAAAAAGGCAGAUGUUAAGGACAUUGUCUCCCUUCACAGUAAAAAAUCUACAUAUAACUUGACUCUCCAGAAACUUAACUACUAAUAGACUACUGCUGACUGGAAGAAUUACUGAUAAUAUAAACACUCAAUUAACACAUAUUUUAUAUAUUAUGUGUAUUAUAUACUGUAUUCUUACAAUAAAGUAAGAUAGAGAAAAGAAAUGUUAUUAAGCUAUUCCUAAGAGAAAAUAUAUUUACUAUUCAUUAAGUGGAUCAUCAUAAAGGUCUUCAUCCUUGUCAUCUUCACACUGAGUAGGUUGAGAAAGAGAGGAAAGAGGAAGGGUUGGUCUUGCUGUCUCAGGGGUGGCAGAACUGAAAGAGGUGGAAGAGGUGGAAGGAGGAGUGGCAGGCACAGUGGUGUAGCUUUACAGAAAUACAUGAUUUCUGUCUGCCUUUUUUGCUUUUUCAUUUCUCCAAAGAUAAUACCAUACAGUACCAAUCCUUCCACCAUUUGCUUUAAUUUCAGUUCUUGUAUCAUAGAAGACUCCAUGUUGUACAAAAAGUCAGAAGCAGUGUUAAAUAAUUGUAACCCUUCUGCCAGAUUGUCUAAUGUCAAUUUGUUUUCUGGCACUGCUUCUCCUAUGUACUCUUCCUCACUAUCUCACACUGGUUUGGAAGUCCUUAUCUCCAUCAAGUUUUCUUCUGUUAAUUCUUCUGAUGUGGUGCCUAUGCGUUCUUGAACUUCUUCAUGAUUCAUAUCUUGAAACCUCUCAUCCCUGCACCAUUUUUGCCAUAUCCACAAUCUCUUUCAAGAUUCCUUUGACUGGUCCUGCCACAAAUCCUGUGAAAUCAUGCACAACACCUGGACACAGUUUUCUCCAGCAAAAUUUAUUUGUUUGGGCCUGAUUGCUUUCACAGCAUUUUCUGUAACAACGAUGGCAUCUUCAAUGGGGUAAUCUUCCAAACUUUCAUGAUGUGCUCUCUAUUGGGAUUCUCCUCCAUAGUGCUGACAAUCAUUCCAUAGACUACCGUGAAUAAUGAGCCUUAAAGGUCCUUAUGAUCCCCCGAUCUCCGCUGAAUUACAGAUGCUGAGUUUGUGGCCAAAUAGACCACUUUGAUGCCUUUGGUGUAGAACUCGUAGAGUUCUAGGUGGCCAGGGACAUUGUCCAAUAUCAAAAUAACUUUAUAAAAAAGCCCUUUACUGGCAAAGUACUUCCCAAUUUCAGGAACAAAGCAUUGAUAGAACCAAUCAGAAAAAGAGUUCUCAUUUUCUGGGCCUUCUUGUUGUAAUACAGCCAAGAGACUGACAGCUGGUGUUUUAUUUUCCUUCAAGGUUUGGGUGUUAGUAGCUUUAUAGAUAGGGACAGCCCUGAUCACAAACCCAACUGCUUUUGCACAAAACAAUAGCAUUAGCCUAUCCCUUCCUGCCUUAAAUCCUGGUGCUUGCUUUUCUUCCUUACUAGUAAAUAUCUUUUGUGGCAUUUCUCCCCCACCCCCCAAAAUGGGGCACUUUCAUCUGCAAUAAAAAUCUCUUCAGGAAAAUGUCCUUUAUCCUCAAUGGGUUUCUUAAUGGUGUGUGGAAAUUUGCUGCCUCUUGGUUGGCAAAAGCUGCUUUUCUUGUUAUCUUGUCAUUUUUUAAGCCACACUUCUUUCUAAAAUUAUCAAACUAUCCUUUCUGGCAUUAAGUUCUCCAGAUUUAGAUCUUUCACCUUCCUUUUGCUUUAAGUUAUCAUAUAGUGACUUUGCUUUUUCUUGAAUCAUGUUAGAGUGUAUAAGUAUGCCUUUCUUAUAGCAAUCCUGCACCCACAUAAAAGGUGCAUUUUCAAUAUGACAUAAAAAGGUAUUUUGCAAAAAGUGCGAAGUCUUGGUACUUCCUGGCCUAGCUGUAGUGAUGGCUUCAUAUCUUCUCUUUUCUUCUCUUUUUUUUCUUUUCUUUUCCAAUGAGCCUUAUACUAGAUUCAUUUAUCCUGAAGUGACAGGAAACUUCAGCUGCAGACCCCAAUCUAUGGGACCUAUCAAACAAUUCACCUUUUUUUGGUAAUGUCGUGACUCUUCUCUGUUUCUUGGGAGCACUUCCAGCAGCACUACUGACUCUUUGUAUGGGUCCCAUGGUGUUAUUGAAGGUUUAUGAUAUUGCACUGAAAAAUGAGUGAGAACUUCAAAAGGUCACUUUUUACUGGGAUACGCAAUUUAUGGAUGAGACAAACUGCUCACUUGGAGGUGAUUAGCAUCACAUGACAUUUCAAGCAGAUACAAUGCUUGAGCUCACUGCAAUAGCAAUGAGAGGUGGCUACAAAAGUAUUACAGAAGUACCACAUGUACUAUAAUUAAUUAUAGUUUUUAUGCAGUUAUUAUUUUGAUAGUACAUCUCAAUUUAUUUACAUUUUUCUCAACUGAGAAUGGUGCCAUGUAGUCUUUAAGUGUCUGUAUGUGUAAGUGUAGACAAACUAACUUUUUAUAAUAGAUUUUUGUACAUCUUAUAGAGUAAAUAAGAAAAUAGACUAGUAUCAAUAUGUUUUAUGCAUUCAUGGCGUACCUUUUUCUUAAUCUUUUUGCUAUUUCUAGGCAUGAUUUAUCUGUGAAUAUUUAAACAUUGUCAGACAUCUCCAAAAAUUUUUCUAAUACACUUAUUGAAAAAAAAAAUCCAUGUAUAGGUGAACCCUUGCAAUUGAAAUCCAUGUUGUUCAAAGGUCAAUGGUAUAUAAUUCAAGAAAUGGAAGUCUAAGUCCAAUAAUAUGAUUGUUUCUAAAUAGUUAAACAUAUUUUAUGUACUUGGUUAAUUAUAUUCCUAUAAAUGUUUCCAGCUAUGGUCACAAUUUCAUAUAAUGGAUUUUCUCAAGAACUUUAAGCACCUAAAAGAGCAGAUUACAAAUCCCAUAAAGAAAUCCUUUCUAUACACAUAAGUAAUUGGGAUAAGUCAAAUAAUAAAAUUACACAUUUCCAUAUGGUUCUCUUAAGCAUUUAAACAUCAUAAAACUUGCCCUCAUAUAUUUAGUAAAUCAGGUUAACUAUUUAAAAUUAAUUGCAAGCAUACCUUUUUUUUUUUUUUUUUAG
rnacentral:lncRNA from 1 species